AAGGAAGAAUAACAAAGUAGGAUUGGGAGUUGAGCUAUAACUCUCACUGAUUGGUUGAAACGAAGUAAUAUAUGUAGUCACAUGACAUAGAUACAGUGUUGACAAAUAAAUCCAAGGGGUAAACAGGUUACCUGUAAUCAGUGUUGGAAAACGAACUGCCUUACAUCUACACUGAAGAACAGGUGACAGAGCAAAGAAAACAUGCCAGCGAUUAAAGUUGUAUCGGCGAUGUGCUUGGUGUCGUUUAUGAUGCUAUUUGGGGAAUGCAAUGGUGCACAAUGCUGCACAAGUUACACUGGCAGGUUUGGACUCCAACAUUCCGCCAAGUUGUGUAGUACAUACUGCUGUACCGAUUUGACCGUCAGCACGUACAAAACGUGUUUUCGGAUGCAGCAAGAAUGGUUCCCUCAUCGGAAAGGACCGAAGAUAGCUGUAGAACAUGGCUCGAAGAUCACAUAUACGUUCCGGUAGUGUCAAGUGCCGUCCCCGUGUUAAUCAUUGCCUGCAUUUGCUGGUUCUGUUGCUGCAAAUAAUGCCGUUCAUAAAAACAUACCUGUCGCUCAAACUCCAAGCUAGGUGGUGAUCUUACUCGAAUGUUCCUCAUGUAUAUCAUCAUACGAGAAAACAACGACAACAGAAUAAGUUCUACAUAAUAUGAAGAUAAAAUUUACCAUCUUUAAGGCUUGUUACCAAAUAACUUUAUCUUAAUAAAUACUAUUUACUGCAAUGAUUGUGUACGUUUUGAAUGUUUUACCAACUUUGUUAUACAUUUAUUCAUUCAAACCAUCAAAUUGUUUCUUGUGCAAUAGAUGACAUUGGUUAUAUCUUAAUUUGAUUGCAAUUUGGUUUUGUUAACGUUUUGACGUGCUUUGAUUAUCUCUUUCUAGAAAUGUUUGUAUAUGUUUAUCUGAUCGCCCUAAAGUCAGAAAUGUGUGUGCUUUUAAAUGUUGAAAUUAUUUUAGGCUAUUCUAAAUACUUGUGGUUUCUUAAAUACUUUAAUAUAACAAUAGACUUUUUGUAAUCACGUUAUUUGGGCUGUUUUCCACCAGGAGUAAUUUGUAUUGUGUUCACGUCUAAAUCAAAUGAGACAAAAGAUUUAAAGAAUUCGUCAAUUAUAUUUAACUUAAACAGAAAGUAGAUUUCGUCGCAAUUAAUGGCGCCUAAAGACCCCAUGCGCUACAAACAUGACAUAUUUUGUUUACCAACCAAUCUACAUUUUUAUUGUUAAAUUUAUUUUUUGUUGUGAAUGAAAGGCAUACCGAUUAAGUUUACUGGUUACGUGAAUUUGCGGUGCACAGUACUCUAGGAAUUCCCAGAUACAAUAAUUGUCGGGUCUCAUUAGCAAAAUAUCGGACAUACACUUUGAAGUAAUUUGAUCAUACGUAAAAAGUGAAAUUUGCAAAUCCGCAAAGAAAUAUGUUCUCAAACGUGAAACCUAAACAUUAGUUAUUCAAAGGAUCG